rnacentral:rRNA from 1 species
GAGAAACCCAAAAGAUCGAAUGGGGAGAUUCAUCGUCAGCUCAUUUUGUAUAUAUGCAAGUUAUGAUAUGGGUUACUACUUGUAGUAUUGCUUAUACAUUCUUGUAUAUUUAUUUGCAAGAUGUUGUCGGCGUGCACUUCUCCCCUAGUAGGACGUCGCGACCCGUUGAGUGUCGGUCUACGGCCCAAGUGGGAGCUUUUAAUGAAUUUUAUUUAUUGAAAACCCUUGGUGUUUUCUGACUGGCACUCGUCGGUAUUCGUAUGGUAUUGAGCCGCAUAUUAUAUGCGUCCCUAUCCGUCGCAAGCGAGGUUAGUUACUGAUAGUGCGGACCUAGUGCCGUCGUUGGUCCUAAUCAGCUGUUGGUUGUAUGGAAUUCUAGGACUGGCUCGUUGAAAUACCGGUCAGCGAUGCUACUGCUUUGGGUACUUUCAGGACCCGUCUUGAAACACGGACCAAGGAGUCUAACAUGUACGCGAGUCAUUGGGAUUUUUAUAAAUUAAACCUAAAGGCGUAAUGAAAGUAAAGGUCGUCCUUGUGUCGACUAAGGGAGGAUGGGCUAUGUUACGAGAUAGCUCCGCACUCCCGGGGCGUCUCAUUCUCAUUGCGAGAAGAGGCGCACCUAGAGCGUACACGUUGG